CACCCAGGUCAGGGCGGGACGCGAAGGCGCGGAGAGGCGGCAGCGGCUGCGGCCCUCCCUACAAGGGCUGUGCGCGGCGGCGGGCCCGGCGGGCCGCCCGGAGGAGGCGGCUACGCCAUGGACGAGGCGCCCUUCAGCCAGGAGGCUCUGGAGCAGGCGCUGGCCGAGCCGUGCGACCUGGACGCGGCGCUGCUGACCGACAUCGAAGACAUGCUUCAGCUCAUCAACAACCAAGAGAGUGACUUCCCUGGCCUGUUCGACCCACCCUAUGCUGGAGACGGGGAAGGAGGCACAGACCCGGCCAGCCCUAAUGCCAGCUCCCCAGGCAGCUUGUCCCCACCUCCUGCCAUGCUGAGCUCCCCUCUUGAAGCCUUCCUGGGGGGACCCAAGGCAGCGCCCUCACCCUUGUCCCCUUCCCAGCCCACACCCACCCCAUUGAACAUGUACCCAUCUGUGCCCACUUUUCCCCCUGAGCCUGGUAUCAAGGAAGAGUCAGUGCCACUAAGCAUCCUGCAGCCCCCCACCCCACAGCCCCUGCCAGGGGCCCUCCUAUCCCAGAGCUUUCCAGCCCCAACCCCACUGCAGUUCAGCUCCACCUCUGUGUUGGGCUACCCCAGCCCUCCUGGAGGCUUCUCUACAGGGACUCCUCCUGCGAGCACCCAGCAGCCGCUGCCUAGCCUACCACUGGCUUCCCCGCCAGGGGUCCCGCCCGUUUCCUUGCACACCCAGGUCCAGAGUGCAGCCCCCCAGCAGCUACUGACAGCCACAGCUGCCCCCACAGCAGCCCCAGGAACAACCACUGUGGCCUCACAGAUCCAGCAGGUCCCGGUCUUGCUGCAGCCCCACUUCAUCAAGGCAGACUCACUGCUCCUGACGGCUAUGAAGACAGAUGUGGGGGCCACUGUAAAGGCAGCAGGACUUAGCCCCCUGGUCCCUGGCACGGCUGUGCAGACAGGGCCCUUGCAGACCCUGGUGAGUGGUGGAACCAUCUUGGCAACGGUGCCACUGGUUGUGGAUGCUGACAAGCUGCCCAUCAACCGGCUGGCAGCUGGCAGCAAGGUCCCAGGCUCAGCCCAGAGCCGUGGUGAGAAGCGCACAGCCCACAAUGCCAUUGAGAAGCGCUACCGCUCCUCCAUCAACGACAAGAUCAUCGAGCUCAAGGACCUGGUGGUGGGCUCUGAGGCAAAGCUGAAUAAAUCUGCUGUCUUGCGCAAGGCCAUAGACUACAUCCGAUUUCUACAACACAGCAACCAGAAACUCAAGCAGGAGAACCUGAGUCUGCGCACUGCUGCCCACAAAAGCAAAUCUCUGAAGGAUCUGGUAUCCACCCGUGGCAGCGGAGGAAACACAGAUGAACUCAUGGAGGGCGUGAAGACCGAGGUGGAGGACACGCUGACGCCACCACCCUCGGAUGCCGGCUCGCCCUCCCAGAGCAGCCCUUUGUCCCUUGGCAGCAGGGGCAGUGGCAGUGGUGGCAGUGGCAGUGACUCGGAGCCUGACAGCCCAGCCUUUGAGGAUAGCCAGGUGAAGCCAGAGCAGCGGCUGUCUCCCCACAGCCGGGGCAUGCUGGACCGCUCCCGCCUGGCCCUGUGCACACUGGUCUUCCUCUGCUUGUCCUGCAACCCCUUGGCCUCCCUGCUAGGAGGCUGGGAAGCUCCUGACCCUGCGGAUGCCACCAGUGUCUACCAUAGUGUUGGGCGCAACAUGCUGGGCACCGAGGGCAGAGAUGGCCCUGGCUGGGCCCAGUGGCUGCUGCCCCCACUGAUCUGGCUCCUCAAUGGGCUGCUAGUGCUGGUCUCCCUGGUGCUUCUCUUUGUCUACGGAGAGCCAGUCACGCGGCCCCACUCAGGCCCCGCCGUGCACUUCUGGAGGCAUCGCAAACAGGCCGACCUGGACCUGGCCCGGGGGGACUUUGCCCAGGCCACCCAGCAGCUGUGGUUGGCCCUGCGAGCGCUGGGCCGGCCCCUGCCCACCUCCCACCUGGACCUGGCCUGUAGCCUACUUUGGAACCUCAUCCGCCACCUGCUGCAGCGUCUCUGGGUGGGCCGUUGGCUGGCAGGCCGGGCAGGGGGCCUGCAAAGGGACUGUGCCCUGCAGGCGGAUGCUCGCGCCAGCACCCGAGAUGCGGCCCUUGUGUACCAUAAGCUGCACCAGCUGCAUACCAUGGGGAAGUACACAGGCGGGCACCUCACUGCCACCAACCUGGCACUGAGUGCCCUGAACCUGGCGGAGUGUGCGGGGGAUGCCAUGUCUGUGGUGACACUGGCAGAGAUCUAUGUGGCGGCUGCGCUGAGAGUCAAGACCAGUCUCCCACGGUCCUUGCAUUUUCUGACACGUUUCUUCCUGAGUAGCGCCCGCCAGGCCUGCUUGGCACAGAGUGGCUCAGUGCCUCUUGCCAUGCAGUGGCUCUGCCACCCCGUGGGCCACCGUUUCUUCGUGGAUGGGGACUGGGCCGUGCGCAGUGCCCCUCGGGAGAGCCUGUACAGCUUGGCCGGGAACCCAGUGGACCCCCUGGCCCAGGUGACGCAGCUAUUCCGGGAACAUCUCUUGGAGCAAGCACUGAACUGUGUGGCCCAGCCCAGCACCACCCCCAGCCCUGGGUCAGCUGAUGGAGACAGGGAAUUCUCAGAUGCCCUCGGGUACCUGCAAUUGUUGAACAGCUGUUCCGAUGCUGCUGGCGCUCCCGCCUGCAGCUUUUCCAUCAGCUCCAGCAUGGCCACCACGGGCACAGACCCAGUGGCCAAGUGGUGGGCCUCGCUGACGGCUGUGGUGAUCCACUGGCUGCGGCGGGAUGAGGAGGCGGCUGAGAGGCUGUACCCGCUGGUGGAACACCUGCCCCGUGCCCUGCAGGAGUCUGAGAGACCCCUGCCCAGGGCGGCUCUGCACUCCUUCAAGGCUGCACGGGCCCUGCUGGGCUGUGCAAAGGCAGAAUCUGGCCCUGCCAGCCUGACCAUCUGUGAGAAGGCCAGUGGGUACCUGCGGGACAGCCUGGCCACCACACCAGUUGGCAGCUCCAUUGACAAGGCCGUGCAGCUGUUCCUGUGUGACCUGCUCCUCGUGGUGCGCACCAGCCUGUGGCGGCAGCAGCAGCCUCCUGCACCUGCCCAGACGUCCCAGGGCGCCAGUGUCAGGGCCCAGGCCUCUGCCCUUGAGCUGCGUGGCUUCCAGCGGGACCUGAGUGGCCUGAGGCGUCUGGCACAGACCUUCCGGCCUGCCAUGCGUAGGGUGUUCCUACAUGAGGCCACAGCCCGGCUGAUGGCAGGGGCCAGCCCCACGCGGACUCACCAGCUCCUGGACCGCAGUCUGAGGCGGCGGGCAGGCCCGAGUGGCAAAGGAGGCGCAGUGGCGGAGCUGGAGCCGCGGCCCACGCGGAGGGAGCACGCCGAGGCCCUGCUGCUGGCGUCCUGCUACCUGCCGCCCGGCUUCCUGUCGGCGCCCGGGCAGCGCGUGGGCAUGCUGGCCGAGGCGGCGCGCACGCUCGAGAAGCUGGGCGACCGCCGGCUGCUGUACGACUGCCAGCAGAUGCUCAUACGCCUGGGCGGCGGGACCACCGUCACCUCCAGCUAGACUCCAGGCGGCAUCCCUGCCCUGCCCCCGUCUCGAGCGGCCCGUGCGGCCUGUGUUCUGGGUCCGAGCCUUGAAGGCCGAAGGCAGCACCGGAGACCCCGGUCUGCACCGUUCAGCCAUGGCUGCACUGUCCCUGGCGGGUGGGAGCCCGCGGGGACCUUUGUCUUGCUCUGGAGUCCGGACAGGCGCAACCCCACCACCCCAACCGGCUCCCCAGCCGGCUCCCCAGCCCAACGAGCGGCCGCCAGGACGGUGCUGACCUCUGGUGGCAGGUCGGGGCAUUGCAGGGGCCGAGCCUGCCGAGCGCUACUUCUUGCUGAGCGGGCACCUUGGUGGCUUUUCCCCUCCUGUCUAGAGGGAAGAGACAGGUCUCAGGGUGACAUGGGAGGAUAGACUCAAGCGUCCUCAAGGACCUGUUGUGACAGGAGGUACAACUGGAUCUCUGUAUGUUCGGGGUGUCUCAGCUCCCCCACCCUGUCCCCUGGUCAUCUCACACAGCUCAGGAAGCUUUGGGCUGCAGGGUGUCCAGUUCCUACAGUAAGGGCAGACUCCCUGACUCUAUCUGCACCUCCCCACCCCCAAAGCCUGGCCCCUGUCCCAG